ACAUACUGUCCUUUAAUAUUAAUUCUUCAUUCCAGACUGCCCAUCAUCCUAGCCUGUUAUCUGUGAUAAAGCACACUGAAGUUAGGUUUGGAAUGCAUCCUUAUCAUGAAUGCUCUACACCUCCACCUCCAUCUCCCACAACCUAGGUAACAGCUUUGAGACUCACUAAAAGUUGAACCCCCUGAAUGAUGUAGGCUAUGGGGCCACAUAAGACUUUGUCCAUCCAGGGUUACAUUGAACGACAACUUUAAACUAAAAAACCAACAUUUUUCACACAACUCCAGGUUGUACUAACAA